rnacentral:lncRNA from 1 species
AGCUUGGCUAGAGAAGAAUCUUGCUGUCUUUCUUUCCCAUAUCCUAAGCCUUGUAUCCCAGUCCAACCCUAAAGCCACACAAACGCAGAUUGAUGCCGUGUGCUGUCGCCGCUGUGUCUCCUUUAUUCUUCGAGCGACCAUAGGAGGCCUGCUUGGAGAAAAGGCUCAAAUUGCUGCUGCAAAGGAUAUCUGCCAAGCCAUCUGGAAGCUAAAGAAAGUUAUGGGUAGGAUCUACUAAAACUGGUUUGCCAGUGUCAGAGGACCACACCUUGAAAAGCAAUGCUUCUGUAUCACUACGUAUUUUAAAAAUACAACUCAGUUAUUCA